rnacentral:rRNA from 1 species
GACGAACGCUGGCGGCGUGCUUAACACAUGCAAGUCGAACGGAAAGGCCCUGCUUGCAGGGUACUCGCGUGGCGAACGGGUGAGUAACACGUGGGUGAUCUGCCCUGCACUUCGGGAUAAGCCUGGGACACUGGGCCUAAUACAGGAUAGGAGCCAUUUUUAGUGUGAUGGUUGGAAAGUUUUUUCGGUGUAGGAUGAGCUCGCGGCCUAUCAGCUUGUUGGUGGGGUAAUGGCCUACCAAGGCGGCGACGGGUAGCCGGCCUGAGAGGGUGGACGGCCACAGUGGGACUGAGAGACGGCCGAGGCGCCGACGGGAGGCAGCAGUGGGGAAUAUUGCAGAAGGGGCGCAAGCCGGAUGCAGCGAGGCCGCGGGGGGGAUGACGGCCUUCGGGUUGAGAACGCCAUUCGCGAGGAACGAAGCUUUUUGUGACGGUACCUAGAGAAGAAGCACCGGCUAACUACGUG